GGGCCUACCGGCGGGAGAGCGGCCCAUGUCCUAUCAGCUUGUUGGUGAGGUAACGGCUCACCAAGGCGACGACGGGUACCGGGACUGACAGGUUGGUCCGGCGCAUUGGGACUGAAACACUGCCCAGACUCCUACGGGAGGCUGCAGUAACGAAUAUUCCACAAUGGACGCAAGUCUGAUGGAGCAAUGCCACGUGCGGUGACGACACCACUUCGGUGUUGUAAACCGCUGUCAGGGAUUACCAAGCAACGAGAGGCUAAUACCCUCCCGCGUUGAGGCGUCCCAGAGGAAGCCACGGUUAACUUCGUGCCAUCAGCCGAGGUAAUACGAAGGUGGCGAGCGUUGUUCGGAAUCACUGGGCUUAAAGGGCUGUGCAGGCGUGCCGUGCAAGCGUCUUGUGAAAUCCCCCGGCUCAACCGGGGAAUGGCUGGGCGAACUGCACGGCUUGAGGCAUGUAGGGGUGCGUGGAACUCUUGGUGGAGCGGUGAAAUGCGUAGAUAUCAAGAGGAACGCCGGAGGCGAAAGCGACGCACUGGGCCUGUCCUGACGCUGAGACGCGAAGGCCAGGGGAGCGAACGGGAUUAGAUACCCCGGUAGUCCUGGCAGUAAACGUUGCCUACUAGGUCGGAGGUCUUCUGACAGGGUUCCGGCCGGAACUAAAGCGUUAAGUAGGCCGCCUGGGGAGUACGGUCGCAAAGGCUAAAAUCUCAAAGGAAUUGACAGGGGGCUCACACAACCGGUGGAGCAUGUUGCUUAAUUCCGAUGCAACGCGAAGAACCUUAUCCUGGGCGUUGACAUGAUCGGAUGCCCGCCGUAGGAAACAGCUUGGGUUGCCCUUCAGGGGUGGAACGAUCACAUGUGUGCUGUAUGGCUGUGAGUCAGCUCGUGUCGUGAGAUGUUGGAUUAAGUCCGGGUAACGAGCGAAACCCUUGUCGCCUAGUUGCCAGCGCGUCAUGGCGGGGACUCUAGUGAGACUGCCGGUGUGAAACCGGAGGAAGGUGGGGAUGACGUCAAGUCAUCAUGGCCUUUAUGUCCCAGGCCUGCAAACGUGCUACAAUGGCCGGUACAGACCGACGCGAGACCGCGAGAUGGAGCAAAUCGGAUAAAGCCGGCCCCAGUUCGGAUUGGAGUCU
rnacentral:rRNA from 1 species